rnacentral:rRNA from 1 species
UACGUAGGUGGCAAGCGUUGUCCGGAAUUAUUGGGCGUAAAGCGCGCGCAGGCGGUUCUUUAAGUCUGAUGUGAAAGCCCACGGCUCAACCGUGGAAGGUCAUUGGAAACUGGGGAACUUGAGUACAGAAGAGGAAAGCGGAAUUCCCAGUGUAGUGGUGAAAUACGUAGAGAUUGGGAAGAACACCAGUGGCGAAGGCGGCUAUCUGGACGGUUUCUGACGCUAAGACGCGAAAGCGUGGGGAGCAAACAGG